CCUGCCUGCCCGCCGCGGCCCCGGCAGAGCGGGGACAGGGGGGCUCGGCAUCCGCCUCUUCGGGGAGGCGAACGGAGCUGGGAGAGUGAGCCGAGAAAGGGAAGUCCGAAGGAGGAAACAGAGAAGGAGUUGUGUAUCCAAUAUUUUCCACGCGCCACAGAUGCCACCUCUGGUAGACAAAACAAGUCUAUCAGUCUGUGCCUUAACAAAGAAGUAAUCUUCAAAUACUUUUGGAACAUGUACUCAACACCAUACCAGGCAGAAAAUACACAGUCUGAUUUUCAUUGACACAAAAGGCAAUUUAUAAAGCUCAGGAAGCCUUGCAAGGAUUAAAGCAGAUGUCUGCACCCACUUAGAGCUUUCUUUCCACACCAGUGUUGUGUAACUGAAUAGUUGUUCAGGACUUGCUGCUGCUGAACUGGGUAGUAGUGACAAUGUGGAGGGAGGACCAUAAACAUGUUCCCCAUAAGACCUCUGGGACUCACCUGUGGAAAUCCUGAGGAGGAAGAGACCUCAAGUCAGUUCAAAAGAAGACAGCAGCAAAAAUCUAUCAAGUAAGAGACAGUGAGACCCAUUCUUGAACAUGGGCAAUAGAGUAAAUAUGAUUCUUUGAGAAAGCAAUAUUUAUUGUAUCCUGGGGUAGAGGAGGUACAUAGAAGGAUGUCUUCUCAAUUUCUUGAAUUACAUGCAAAAUUUAACUAUGACUGACUGAGCUUUUACACAUCUCUGAGAGUGUGAGGUCUUGGGGUCUCUGAACUACUAUAAGUAGCAGGUCAGGAGAUCCAGGUUCUGGGGCUAAAACUCACUCUAGCACUUAGGUAUUUCCUUUCUACCCAUAGCACUCCUUUAAAAACGUAAGGAACACUGAAAACAGCGGAAUCUCUCUUGGAGUUAGGCCUCUGUUGCACUUGCACAUUUAAGGCUAUUCUACAAUAUGACUUUUCCUCCCUCUUUUCUUCUUUGUCCUCUGACUUUUCAUUUUCUUCUUCAUUUAUUGCCUGUCCCUCUUCAUUUUCAUUCCACAUACACAGACUCUGUUCUCAAUGCUAUUAAUCAGUUAUUGUCACAACUCCCUUCCUUCCUUGUUUAUCUCUCGUUUUAGAUCAUCCAUUGUACUUACAAAGUAGAUCUGUGUAGAUCCAUUAGUGAAACCUGUGUGCCUCUUUAAGACCCAAGCUAGUUUUUAACUACACACUCAGUGUUUCCUCCUUUUUAUUUUGCUCUCCCACAUCAAAAGAAAACCCCAAGUAAAUAAUACAGGUAUGCCCUUGCUCUUUUGUUUUCAGAGUUCUUUCUCUUUUCUUGUUUGGUUUCUCUUUGAUUUUUCAGGUGUGGUCAAAAUCUGAAGGUGUUGCCGACGUAUUUCAUUGUAGAGACUGAUCAUCUCCAAGUUACAUAAAACCUUCAUGAUAAACAACCAGAGUAUGGCAUAUCAGGAAGGUAAAUCCUCUGAACUCCUACGUGUCAUGCUAUGGGGAAUCAUGCUACAAAACCCCCUACUGGGAAACAAGUUGUAGCACCUCGAGGAGCUGGAGUGGUUGCACCUGCCUUGUGAAACAAUUCCUCCAAGGGCAAUUCUGCAUUUUUACUUCUGCCUUAAGAGAUUUCUUUGCCUUCUGGACUUCUAUUCAGCUUGGUCUUCACAAGAAAAGGUCCCAACUAUUUCUGUUCUCAUAAAGUUCUUUCUGUAAGUAAGAAUUUGUCUGCUCGGCUUUGACUGAAGCUCAAUCAGUAUUAAUAAUGAGUUAAGUCAGAUAUGGCCAUAUGGUGCGGAGCUCAAAACCCUCUAACUUCCCAGCUACUUACCUGGGGCUCUGAGCUCCACAUUGCUGCAGCUCUGUUGCUGUCAGCACUCAAAAUUACUAGUUUAAUGCUAGGUUGAGCACAUCUAACCAUGCAGCAGCCACAGAACUGUUUGGUGAAGCGACAUACUUUCCGAAACAUGCUGACCUUGGAUUAAAUAAACCAGAGAAAAAGAGCCUGAAGUUCCCUAACUUGCUACAAUGCAGUCCUGCUAUUAUUAAGUCUGCUGCUGAAUGUGUGAAAGUGUGUGGGAUCAACACAAACUUCACAGAAGCAAAGCCCCAUGGUAGGUGGCAAUGGCAGCUUUGUCAGAAAAAUCUGCAGAAUAUGCUCUGAGGCUGUGCCGCUGGAACAAAGCAGAGAAGUACAAGAAACAUCAUUAUAGACUGAAAAAAGGAAUCUCUACAGGCACUCUUAUUCGGAUCUCCUUGGGAGAGAGAAGGGGUUAGUAUUGGUAAUAAACUGUAAAGGUCUCAUUUGAGGCAAGAGGAAGAGAGAGAACUGGUGCCAAGAAACAGUACAGAAGAUGAGAACGAGUGGAAGAAAAGAAAGCAAGCUCUGGACUAUUUGAUAAUGAGGUGUGCCUGUCCAGUGUCCUGAGGAAUGAAUAAUGUUAGAGAAUAUAUAGGAACUGCCAAGGCCAGUGUGUUUCACUUGCAGGGUCUCAUUCCUGAGGACUGUGAGUUAUCGUCACUGACAGUGUGCCACAAUCACUAUCCAACUAAGGUUGCUGAUACCUAUCAGAGUGAUUUGGAAAUAUGAAGAGACAAUCCAGUGAUUAUGGAAAAUGUGCGAGCAAAGAGAUAGAGAAGACCUAGCAGAAAGAGGAAUGUUGUGUUCCAGGAUGUGCCUUGUCCUGGGACAGUAGAAAACUGUGAAGCAACGGCUUACGGAUUUUGCACUCCCUGGACAAAAGGAGUUAAGAUAAACUGAUUAAGAUGAUGUCUCUCCUAUGGACUUAACAUAUAUCCUUCAACAUCCUUGAGAGUUAAGAGAAAUUAAAUUUAUUUUCAGAGAUAUAUUUCCUUCUUCCUCUUCCUUCUUGUUAUAAACAGUAAGGUCUGUGCUGAUUUAUUGGAAUUACUCCUUUCGCUGUGAUGUGCAGGAUUAGUAAUGAGCUACUCUGUCUGAAACGUGAUGUUAGGUAUUAAACAUAGCACUUCUGGAAAAAAUAUGCAAUUCCUGUGAUGAUAUAAACCCAAGGUUUAUUUCUUACUACUUGUGUCUUACAGACUGAAACGUGUAAUUUUAUUUUUAGAGGUGUACUGUUCUACUGCAGCUCUUUUGAAGUAGUGUUGAUGGUGUUCUAUAGCAUUUCAUAGUUGCUGAAUAUGGGCACCUUUACAUUUAAGAAUGUCAUGUUCUAUUUUUCCAUACUUAUAGUAACUUUUAAAACCUUUAGAGUUGUUUAGUAGUACGUGCCUUUGUAAUCAGAUUCUGUGGGUGGUACCUUUUGAAAUAAAUUGCCUGAAGAGCUUUAAUAAAAGAAAACAGCCUGAAGGUAAUUGGUUUGCUGAAGGCUGGAGCAGGCCCAGUUAACCUCAAUGGUUGAGCCAUCCCACAGCGAUUAUUUGAACCUUAAUAAUAUCAACCCUUCAAGUUUCUAAGUGUUCCAUGACUCUACUGGUUUUGGCAAAAUUUGAAAAUAGGUCUCAGGAGCUAAAAAUCAGCAGAACAUAUCAUACUACUCUUUUUCUAUGUCGGUUACAUUAAAAACUCUAUCUGGAGCCUGUACCCUUCAAUCACUCAGACAGUAACAAUAGACUCCUUUGGUUACUAAAUUUACAGCAAGGUUACUUGAUUAAAAUCAAAUAUAAA